GAUUGCGAAUAGCGGGCUGGCUCUCGAGGCAGCUGGGCAGGUAGGGCGCGUUAGGAAACAUCCUGGCCUGGCCGGAUGACGCCUGGCUGGGCGGAGGAGGACCGAAGGGCCCGUAGCGACAGGCUCCGGCUGUGCCAGUGAACUGGCCGGAAAAGUGGACAGUGAAGGCGCUCAGGCACUGCUCCUCGUGCGGCUCCGCGCCGCCCCAGCUCGGCUCCUGUUUGAUGAAGGAGUGAGGCGGCGGCGGCGGGGGUGGCGGCGGAGCCGGUGGCGGCGCGGGGCCGCCCAACGACCCGUAAGCCGAAGCGCCCGGGGGCGCAAAGUCCAGCACCGGCGCCCACUGCGCCGCGCCGCUCACAGGCAGGGCACAGCCGCCGCCGCCACCCAGGGAGGGGACGGCGGGCAGCAGCGCGUUCAGGUCCCGCACGUCGGAGCCCAUUUGCUGCGGCUCAGACCCGGACGCCCCGCGGCUCCUCCGGCCCUGGAGACGUUCAGCGCUGGCCUCGGCGGCGCCUAACUUGGCCCAGAUGCCGCCCGGGUCCCGGACUCCCUGCUGCUCUGGCUGCUGUAGGCACCCAGGCCCGGAGCGGAGCGUGUGCUGAGACGCCGGCUCCGGGACACACGUGGAAGCCGGGUCCUGCAGCAAGAGGAAGUCCAGGAUCGCGGCGAGGAGACGGCGGGGCCCGGGCGCCUGGGCUGCCGUCCCGGCUCUGGGUGGGUGGGUGGGUGAAUGAGUAGGUGGGAGGGAGGGCGGGAAGUGGGGGAGCGGACAGGCGGUCGGGUUGCGGAGAGCCCCCGGGUGUGGGCGCUGCCUUGAACUCCUUACCCCAGCUGCCUGGCUGCCCUCAGCUUCCCAAAGCUCAAAUAAGAGGGGCCGGCGGCGCGGGGAAGAGGAGGAGCCAGGAGGCUCGGCCGCUCCAUUCACUCAGCAGCCCAAGCCCGGCCAGGCAGCGCGCGCUGCUCCUUGGGGGCGCCCUCGCAGCUGGGGUGAGGGCGGGUCCGAGGGAGCGUCCCUCUCGGAGACACCCUCCUCUUCAACCCAACACGCGCUCUCAGCUGGCCGGUGUGGCACAACCCUCCCCCCACCUCCCCUUCUUGGCCUUCGCCAGUGUGGGAGCCUCGUCUCACUGGAGAGUCCGUUCAGGCCCAGUAAGUAAAACAGGAUGCACAAACCUGGCUCUCAACUUGCUUACAGUCUGGCUGUGCUUCAGGACUUGGUCAUCAUUGAAGCAGGAUGUGCA
rnacentral:lncRNA from 1 species